CUAAAUUGCACAUUCUUGACUCUGGAAUCAGCAGCAAGGCUAAACUGACUUCAUCUACAACAUUGUGUGAGAGGACACACCAAGAAAACAUGGCAGUGCUGUUUUUAGGUUGGCUUAAUGCUUCUGCGAGAAUGAUACAUGUCAAAAGACCACCGAUAGCAAGCUCUGGAGAGGACUAAGAAAGAGGAGCCAUAAUACA